GACGAACCGUCCAAACGUUAUUCGGAAUCACUGGGCUUACAGAGUUCGUAGGCGGUCUGGAAAGUUGGGUGUGAAAUCCCUCGGCUCAACCGAGGAACUGCGCUUGAAACUACCAGACUCGAGGGAGAUAGAGGAAAGCGGAACUGAUGGUGGAGCGGUGAAAUGCGUUGAUAUCAUCAGGAACACCGGUGGCGAAGGCGGCUUUCUGGGUCUUACCUGACGCUGAGGAACGAAAGCUAGGGGAGCGAACGGG
rnacentral:rRNA from 1 species